AUCAAUAAAGCGGAGGAAAGAACUAACAAGGAUUCCCCCAGUAACGGCGAGUGAAGAGGGAAAAGCCCAAAUUUGUAAUCUGGCUCUUUUAGAGUCCGAGUUGUAAUUUUGAGAACUGUUUUCUGUGCUGGACCAUGUUUAAGUCUGUUGAAAAACAGCAUCAUUGAGGGUGAUAAUCCCGUUCAUGAUAUGGACUACCAGUGCUCUAUGAUACAGUCUCUAAGAGUCGAGUUGUUUGGGAAUGCAGCUCAAAGUGGGUGGUAAAUUCCAUCUAAGGCUAAAUAUAGGUGAGAGACCGAUAGCAAACAAGUACCGUGAGGGAAAGAUGAAAAGAACUUUGGAAAGAGAGUUAACAGUACGUGAAAUUGCUGAAAGGGAAACAAUUGAAGUUAGCCUUGUUAUUUCCAGUUCAACCCUUUUAGGGUGUAUUCUGGUGAUUAACGACCAACAUCAGUCUUUGAGUGCUGGAUAAGGGUUUUGGAAAUGUAGCAGUCUAGGCUGUGUUAUAGUCCAUUACUUUGAUACAAUGCUUAGGAUUGAGGAUCGCAGUAAGCCAAUCUUGGUGGAUCAAUUUAUUGGUCUUCUUACUGAGGAUGUUGGUGAAAUAGCUUUAAAUGACCCA
rnacentral:rRNA from 1 species